UGGGGGCUCUUCGGACCUCAUGCUAUCGGAUGAACCCAGGUGGGAUUAGCUAUUUGGUGAUGUAAUGGCUCACCAAGGCGACGAUCUCUAUCUGGUUUGAGAGAAUGACCAGUCACACUGGAACUGAGACACGGUCCAGACUCCUACGGGAGGCAGCAGUGGGGAAUAUUGCACAAUGGGCGCAAGCCUGAUGCAGCCAUGCCGCGUGUGUGAAGAAGGCCUUCGGGUUGUAAAGCACUUUCAACGGGGAGGAAAGGUCACUAGAUAAUACCUAGUGGCAUUGACGUUUCUCGCACAAUAAACACCGGCUAACUCCGUGCCAACAGCCGCGGUAAUACGGAGGGUGCAAGCGUUAAUCUGAAUUACUGGGCGUAAAGCGCACGCAGGCGGUUUGUUAAGUCAGAUGUGAAAUCCCCGAGCUCAACUUGGGAACUGCAUUUGAAACUGGCAAGCUAGAGUCUUGUAGAGGCGGGUAGAAUUCCUGGUGUAUCGGUGAAAUGCGUAGAGAUCUGGAGGAAUACCGGUGGCUAAGGCGGCCCCCUGGACAAAGACUGACGCUCAGGUGCGAAAGCGUGGGGAGCAAACAGGAUUAUAUACCCUGGUCGUCCACGCUGUAAAGGAUGUCUAUUUGGAUGUUGUGCCCUUGAGGCGUGGCUUCCGGAGCUAACGCGUUAAAUCGACCGUCUGG
rnacentral:rRNA from 1 species